rnacentral:rRNA from 1 species
AGUGAACGCCGGCGGCAGGCCUAACACAUGCAAGUCGAACGGCAGCACAGGAGAGCUUGCUCUCUGGGUGGCGAGUGGCGGACGGGUGAGGAAUAUAUCGGAAUCUACCCUUUCGUGGGGGAUAACGUAGGGAAACUUAUGCUAAUACCGCAUACGCACUGAGGUUGAAAGCGGCGGACCGCAAGGCGUCGCGCGGAUGGAUGAGCCGAUAUCCGAUUAGCUAGUUGGCGGGGUAAAGGCCCACCAAGGCGACGAUCGGUAGCUGGUCUGAGAGGAUGAUCAGCCACACUGGAACUGAGACACGGUCCAGACUCCUACGGGAGGCAGCAGUGGGGAAUAUUGGACAAUGGGCGCAAGCCUGAUCCAGCCAUGCCGCGUGUGUGAAGAAGGCCUUCGGGUUGUAAAGCACUUUUGUUGGGAAAGAAAAGCGGUCGGUUAAUACCCGGUCGUUCUGACGGUACCCAGAGAAUAAGCACCGGCUAACUUCGUGCCAGCCGCCGCCGUAA